AAAUUCGUAUUUUCGUACAUUACAAUUUACGUUUACGUUUGAUUCUGCAGAACUGUCUUCCGUGCUUUUACGAAUGAGUUUCUUUGCAGUUUACACUUACAUUUUGAUCCUAUUGAUAACUGCAAACUGUCCUCUACAAUUUUACGAACGAGUUUCAACAUUUAGACGUAAAACUGUAUUUAGACGUAAAUCGGCUUUCCUCGCACAAUCAUCAGAUCUCAGUUCACG
rnacentral:lncRNA from 1 species